ACUACGGGAGGCAGCAGUGAGGAAUAUUGGUCAAUGGCCGCAAGGCUGAACCAGCCAAGCCGCGUGAAGGAAGACGGCUCUAUGGUUUGUAAACUUCUUUUAUACGGGGAUAAAGGUCGCUACGUGUGGCUGUUUGAAUGUAUCCUAUGAAUAAGCAUCGGCUAACUCCGUGCCAGCAGCCGCGGUAAUACGGAGGAUGCGAGCGUUAUCCGGAUUUAUUGGGUUUAAAGGGUGCGUAGGCUGUUUUAUAAGUUAGAGGUGAAAGGUUGGGGCUCAACCCCAAAAUUGCCGUUAAUACUGGAGGACUAGAGAAUGUUUGCGGUAGGCGGAAUGCGUGGUGUAGCGGUGAAAUGCUUAGAGAUCACGCAGAACACCGAUUGCGAAGGCAGCUUACCAAGCCAUAACUGACGCUGAGGCACGAAAGCGUGGGGAUCAAACAGGAUUAGAUACCCUAGUAGUC
rnacentral:rRNA from 1 species